AUAAAGUCGUAAAUUGAAUUUUGAAAAGAGUCGAGAACAAUUUCAAAGGACCGAGAGAGAAGGUUCAGUGUUGAGUGGUGUUUGGCGCUACCAGCACAUCAAGCAUAACGAAGGAGCACGAGAAUUCAUCCAAAACAUAUUGUCAAAGAGGCAGAAUAUGGCUGAACAUGUUAAGUCAGAGACGAAACCAACCGAUGGAGCGGAUGAUUUACUGACUUUUUGUGCUGAAAAUAUGCAGAGCAACAUGAAGAUUAUCUAUGUCAGCGGACAUUUUUGUCUAUAAUCGGUGGAGUAGUUGCUGGAAUUUUUGGGUUUACAGGCUUAAAAGGAUUUGUCUUAUACUUUCUGCUAAUGUCCUUUACUUCACUUGUGCUCCUAGCAAAAUCUAAAAUUUCAAUCCACUCAUACUUUGACUCCCGGAAUCGAGUGCUACUGGAUGGCUUUCUAGGUGGUCUAAUGUCAUUUGUGCUGUUCUGGACGUAUCCUUCUCUUUUAUAAUCUUUGGCAGUACAUCUGCAAACUAAUUUAUUUAACGCCAUAAAUCUGUUAAAACUUAAAAAUGGAGAACUUAUAUGACUAGCGUUAUUUGGAUGGAUUGGAAUUGGAUUUAGAGGGUAUUAGAACUUAAAAUGGAGUGGAAUUGGUUUUGGAGGGGAUUCCAAAUCGUUCCACGUUACCUAAACUUUCGAAAUAUUUGUUGCCCUAUUUUUCCUAGAGAGUAGCUGUCCCAGAUUAUUGACAAAAACAGCUUAUGAAGAGUUCAUUUAUCCUAUUCCCAUAUUCUUGUCAUUAUAUUCUGCUUCUUUGACAAACUAAAGAUUUGCAUACGACGUUGUACAUAUAUUUUGAUCGAAAGUCGUCUGGAAAUGCCUUUAAAAAGGCAACUUUUGGCGUCUGUUGCUGAUUUCGCUGCUUGCUAGAUUGCUUUACAGGACCAUCUAGUUACUGGGAUAGCUUCAUGAUGACUUUGUAAGCUCUACUUCCGUUGGGGAUUAUGUAAUCUUAGAGAGGAAGCAAUUUUGUUAAAUUGGACUCGGGGAGAUUAUUCUAUAGACUAGUUUGUAUAUGUAGCGAUUUAUUUUGGCAUUUAGUUUAAGUUGCUUCUUAACGAAAAUAAGAUGUUUCACCUGCAGCUUUCUGUGAUGAAACUCCUUGAUUGACAAGGUUGGUGUGACCAAAGAAAAGAAUGUUUUGCGACCAAUAAUAUGUUCUCACAUUGUGUUUCAAUUGCGGACUUGCAGUAAUUGCAACAUCAAACUUACGAAUCAUUCGCAAUUUAAAAUCCCGCACUCAAUC